AAGGGUGUUCUCAAAGUAAUUGACUCAAUCUGUCGUACAUUCCUAUGGACUGGUUCUGCAAGUUAUUCCAGGAGGGCCUUAGUAGCUUGGGACAGAAUUUGUACUCCUUUAAAUGCUGGUGGACUUAACAUAAUGAACUUGACAAUUUGGAAUAAAGCAGCAGUAGCCACACUUCUAUGGGACCUGGCAAGAAAGAAGGAUUGUAUAUGGGUUAAAUGGAUUCAUUGUUAUUACAUAAAGAGGGAAGAAGUUGGAACAGCAAAUGUUCCCAAGCAAGCUGCUUGGGUAGUAAGGAAGAUCAUACAAUGUAGAGAUGGUGUUAUGGUGAAUCAGCAGAUGGAUGGUUCACUUUAUGACAGACUUAAAUCAGUUUGUUGUAUGGGAAGAUUCCAAAUACAUAAACUCUAUAUUGCUAUGCUGCCUAGAUUUGAAAGAGUCAGCUGGAGGAACUUAUUAUUGGUUGAUAAUGUAAUUUCCCAGUCACAAGUUCACUGCUUGGUUGGCUGCACAUCACAGAUUGCCUACUGUGGAUAGAUUGGCUAGGUUUGGAAUUCAACUUCCACUUCUGUGUGUAUUUUGUAAACAAAAAGAGGAGACAUUUCAUCAUCUAUAUUUUGAAUGCUGUAUCACAAAGAGGCUAUGGGCUCGUAUGUGCUGUUGGUUGGGUAGCCCGAGACAAGCAGUUAACUAGGAUGAGGAGUUGAUAUGGAUAUGUAGGAAAGCUCGAAGUUCUGCAUGGAGUAAUGCGAUUACUGCUGCUGCUUUCAUUCAUGUCAUUGCUUUAAUUUGGAAGGCAAGGAAUAAUAUGAGGUUUCAAAAUAUGGUGUAUGAUGAGGAUAGAACAGCCAGAGAAGUUGCAAUGCUGAUUCAUAUUCGAGGCAGACACGGUCGAAGAUGGCAACAUGGGUUACAACAGCUAAACAAUUUUCCUUAGUUGGAGUUUUAGUAACUGUAAAUCACAUACAUAGUCAUUGUUUUUUUUUGAAAGAAGUAUAGAUAUGACUCUGUAACUAGACUGAUAGCAAUUGAGUAGUAGAAGUCCAUACUACUACCUUAGGAUUACAUUGUAUAUUUUUAUAUUAAUACAAAGUUGACAGUUAAGCUUAAAAAAAAACAAGUACACAUUGUAGAUACUACCAAUGGGGGCUUAUGCACAUCUUCAAUUAGUCAAACAAUUUGUAACCAGUGGAAUGCAGAAAGUGAUCAUCAUCACUACCUUAAAGACAUGAAUUAUAUGUCUAAUUAUGGAGGCCAUUUAAAAAAAAUAAAAAAAUCAUGCCUUUUAUAGCCAUUGUGACCAAUUUAUCUAUUUUAAUGAAGUUUUCUACUUCAUGUAUUUUCAGUUGUGAUAUUUGCUUAAAAAUAAAUUGGAUUUGCUUAAAAAUAAAUUGGAACUAUUUAAUUUAAUGUGUUUAGGAUAAAAUAUUGCUCUAUAGCUUAUUUAGUAAUUGGAAUAGAAGGAAAUUAUUUUAGAUGAGAUGAUGAAUAUCAGUUUUGUUACAAAGGAUAUCAUUAGGCGCAUGUUAACCAAUAAGUUAUCAUGAUAUGUACACAUUCACGUGACAUAGUUACGAUUUUCUAAAUUAAAGGCAAAGUAGGCAUUUGCGCAACUUUGACAAAAAUCUUAAAAAAAUAAUAAAGUUUUAUUAAUUGUGUAACAUGAUGUCAUUGAGUGCAUCUUUUUAGCAACAUUACCAGAAAUCAUUGCAGUUGUGGAAUCACUAUCAUCAGUAAGAUCAAUCUGGAAUAUACAUCUGCAACCAAAGAUGGUUUAAUAUAUGUAAGAAAAUGAUAUAUAUACAAUAAUUUCGAUGUGCUAAAGUUGUCUGUCGUUUACAUUUGGUGCAGUCAAAAUCUUUUCUUUCCUUCGUUCGCAUACUUCACCUUCUUUGUUCAUCUUUGCCUCUGCUUCUAUGAUGAUUCUUUUUUAAUUUAACUUAUGACAUCACCCCUGCUAAUUACAAUACAGAGCUAAAGAAAACACAUAAACCAACAUGUCGUAUUAAAUUAAGAAAAGAACGAAUAUCGACAAUUAUGUUAAAUUUUGGUAAUAUUUAUCUGUAUUUUAAAUAUGAAUCACUGACCAUUAAAGAUACAAUAAAUCAAAAAUCAUAGUAUAAAGAUAUCAUAAGAAUUAACAGUUCUAUUUUACGUAAAUGUUCAAGUCAAAAUUCUGUAACAGAACAAAUACAGUUGCGAGAAAGCAGCCAAAGAGAAGAAAAAGCAGAAGGAAAAGAAGUGAGAAAAUGAGGAAAACAAGAUCAAAGGAGAAAUGUAAAUUAGCAGUCUUAUUGAAGCACGAAUCCAGAAAAAAACUGAUAAUUUUGAGUUGAAUUAAUGGCUGAACUUUGAGUUAGUACUCUUCUUAAAUCAGAAUCUCAUAAGAGUUCCAAUUGAAGUAGGCAUUACUUUUCACAUUAAUCAAUUCUUACCUAAAAGUUCAGAUUUGUAUUCAUCAAUUCUUCAAAAUCUAUUGCAUGCAGGAGUAAAUCAGAGCAACUCAAUAAGAGACUAACCAGGAGAACAUGAAAAUAAUAAAUUCCCAAUAAACAAGGAGGAUAGAAACAAUACCCAGCAAGUUGUACUUCAAAUAAAUUCUAUAAAAUAAAACAAAAAAAAACAUGUAGCAAAAAGUAACUUAGAAUAACCACUAUGUAAAUUUGGAAAAAAUUUCUUUUUAAAACAUAGAGCGAGAUAUUGAGCGAGAGAAGAAGGAAGUAGAAUAAGAAAAUAAAAGUUAUGAAAAAUCAGGAGUACCUUAGGAUAAAUAAAUAUGCUGCAAACCAAAGAAAAUUAUCUCAUGAAAAGAUAGAAAAUUGAGCGAGAGCUUCUUAAGAGAGUGAGGGUAGAAAAGAAGAGCGUUUCAAAGUACAAGUUUUAGGAUAAAAUACACGACAUCCAAUGAAAAACGCACAAGUUUUAAGGUACAAUUUAGAUAACUUUUGACAGAAAAAUGAUAAUAACUCAGAAAACAGAGAGGACUCUUAACAUUUCUAAGAUCACACAACUUGAAAAUGAGGAGAAAGGUAACUGAACAGUACAUGCAUAGGAUAAUUCAGAAAAAGUUCUAAUAUGAUCAAAAGAAUUAAAACUAAACAUGAAGAGUCUUCAGGAAGGAUGGACGAAUAUUAUUUUUGCUUUUACUACUAAAAAUGCAGAAUAUAAGAACUAAUGUAUGCAAAUAUAUAUACUUGGAUCUCGGAUAGUUGAGACAUGCGUUAGUAUAUAGAUCAGAAAUAACUACCAAAAGAAAGAAGAUGGAAUCAUAAAUAGUUACUUUAACCCCAUGUGUAGUUAUAUUAAUUUCAUUAUGCAAAAGUUGAUUGACCUCCAAUUACAUAUUGAGCGAAAUCUUUUUCCCAAGUGUUCUUGCGCUAAUGGGGACAUUCCUCCAUACUUGUUCAAUAUAGGAAACCAUAGACAACAAAUAUCUUAUGCACAAAUAUAUAUAUUACAAGAGAAUUUUCUGUAAAAAAUGACAUAAAGACAGUGUAUGUCUCUAGUCCUAUUCAAUUGAUCAAAAGUAUAGCCACCAAUCAUAAAUUAAAUACAGGAAAUGUUUUAUAUUCUGGCACAUAAAAAGACACCUUAACCCAAUCAUUCUAAGCUCACGAGCAAUGGUCCCUAGCUUACCAGUUGUAAAAAAUUAUCACAAUGCAAGAAGAUAUUUGUGGGGUCCGGCCCCAUAUGUGGAAGAAGAAAAGCUUCUUCUUUCUUCCUUUUGUGUUUCUUCCUUUUGUUAAGCCAACCAAUUUAGAAAAGAUUUGGGCGACUGACUUUUGCAGUAGUGUUGAUGCCACUGCAUAAAUCAACAUAGGUAUUCUGCAACUAUACAUAGGUGCCUCUACCUUAAUUGUAAGACACACCAACAAAAGUGAGCAAUAUUGUAGUGAGGUGAAAAUAUCAAAAGAUAGUUAUUUCUUUUGAGUGUUGUAGUGUUCUUUGGGGUAUUUGUACUUGUUACUACAUGGUGUAAAUUCCUCACUAUAGUGAUAUCAGUUGAUAUUUUCAGAGCCGUGAUUUUUCCCUUAUUAAAAAGGGUUUUCCACGUAUAAAUCUUGGUAUUACUGUCACUCUUUUAUCCUUGUUAAUUACUGUAUCUCGGUGCUAUAUUAUUAUUCUGCUUUAAUUACCAUAAAUAUUAUUACUGUAGGGGGUUUAUUCCCAAUAAUUGGUAUCAGAGCACAGGUUCAACUCGUUGACAGAAAUAUUAUUCACUAUCAAUAGUACUAUACUUGGAAAAAAAUAAAAAUGUCCGGAGUAAAGUACAAGGUAGCAAAAUUCAAUAAAGAUAACGGUUUCUCAACAUGGCAAAGAUGGAUGAUGGAUCUGCUCAUCCAACAAAGAUUACACAAGUUACUAGAUGCUGAUGCCAAAAAGCCUGAUACUAUGAAAGUCGAGGAUUGAGCUGAUUUGGAUGAAAGAGCUGCUAGUGUAAUCAGGUUACACUUAUCAAAUUAUGUGAUAAAUAACAUCAUUGAUGAAGACAUUGUACGUGGCAUUUGGACAAGGCUGGAAAGCCUAUACAUGUCGAAAAUGCUGACAAAUAAAUUGUACCUGAAGAAGUAAUUAUACGCCUAUACAUGGGUGAAGGUAUGAAUUUUUUGUCACAUUUAAAUGAGUUUAACAGACUAAUCACACAGUUCGCCAACCUCACAGUGAAAAUCGAGGAAGAAGAUAAAGCCAUCUUGCUAUUGAACUCGUUGCCAUCUUCGUACGAUAAUUUGGCAAUAACCUUCCUACGCGGUAAGACUACCAUUGAGUUGAAAGAUGUUACAUCGGCUAUUAUACUCAAUGAGAAGAUGAGAAAGAAGCCUAAAAAUCAAGGAUAUGCUCUCAUCACAGAAGGUAGAGGCAGGAAUAUUAAAGGAGUUCGAACAAUUAUGGUAGAUCCGGAGCUCAUGGAAAGUCUAAGAACCGAUCCAAAUCAAGAUACAAAAAUUGCUACAAUUUUGAUCAACCAGGUCACUUCAAAAGAGAUUGUCCAAAUCCAAGAAAGGAAAAAGGUGAAACCAGUGGCCAGAAGAAUGACGACAACACAACCGUCAUGGUGCAAAAUAAUGAUAAUGUUGUACUUUUUAUAAAUGAGGAAGAAGAAUGCAUGCACCUGUCAGGUCCAGAGUCGAAAUGGGUGGUUGACACAACAUCAUCUUACCCUACCACAAAGGUAAGAGAUCUUUUUUGCAGAUAUGUAGCAGGUAAUUCCAAAAAUUGGUGAUAUUUGUAUCAAGACAAAUAUCGGAUGCACAUUGGUUCUAAAGGACGUGCGGCAUGUACCUGAUUUGAUGAUGAACUUGAUCUUGGGAAUUGCUUUAGACCGAGACGGAUACAAGAGCUAUUUUGCAAAUAAAAAGUGGAGACUCACCAAGGGAUCAUUAGUGAUUGCAAAGGGAUUUGCUCGUGGCACGUUGUACAGGACAAAUGCAGAAAUAUGCUAAGGUGAAUUGAACGCGGCACAAGAUGAGAUUUCUGCAAACUUGUGGCACAAAAGAAUGGGUCAUAUGAGCGAGAAGGAAUUGCAUAUUAUUUCCAAGAAAUCACUCAUUUCUUAUGUCAAGGGUACAAUGGUAAAACCUUAUGACUACUGUUUAUUUGGUAAGCAACAUAAAGUCUCAUUUCAGAUAUCAUCUGAAAGAAAAUUGAAUAUACUUGAUUUAGUAUAUUUUGAUGUUUGUGGCCCAAUGGAAAUUNNNNNNNNNNNNNNNNNNNNNNNNNNNNNNNNNNNNNNNNNNNNNNNNNNNNNNNNNNNNNNNNNNNNNNNNNNUAAUUGGUGGUAACAAAUAUUUUAUUACUUUUAUUGAUGAUGCUUCACGAAAAUUAUGGGUUUGUAUUUUGAAAACCAAAGAUCAGGUUUUUUAUGUUUUCCAGAAGUUUCAUGCUCUAGUAGAAAGGGAGAUGGGUCGAAAGCUAAAGUGUCUCCGAAGUGACAAUGGAGGAGAGUACACUUCAAGGGAAUUUAUAGAGUACUGUUCAAGUUAUGGGAUCAGACAUGAAAAGACAGUUCCUGGAACUCCCACAACACAAUGGAGUAGCCGAGAAAAUGAAUCGCACCGUUGUAGAGAAAGUGAGAAGCAUGAUCACAAUAGCUAAACUUGCCUAAGCUAUUCUGAGGUAAAGCAGUUCAGACAACCUAUUACCUUAUCAAUAGGAGCCCAUAAGUUUCGUUGACAUUCCAUAAAGAGUUUGGACCAACAAGAAGGUGUCAUACUCACAUCUAAAUGUGUUCGGUUACUGAGCUUUUUCACAUGUAUCAAAGGAGCAGAGAACAAAGCUGGUUGAUAAAUUUGUUCUCUACAUAAUCAUUGGAUAUGGAGAGAAGAGUUGGGUUAUAGAUUGUGGGAUCCUGUAAAGAAGAAGGUAUCAGAAGUAGAGAUGUAGUCUUCCGAGAAAGUAAAGUUGGAACUGCUGCUGUUAUGUUAGAGAAUGCCAAGAUUGGUAGAAUUCCUUACUUUGUUACUAUUCCUUAUACUUCUAACAAUCUCACAAGUGCAGAAAGUAGGACAAACGAGGUUGCAGAUCAGGGGGAGCAACCUAGUGAGCUUUUUUAGCAGGGGGAGCAACUUGAUGAAGGUGUCGAGGAAGUGGAGCACCCCACUCAGGAAGAACAACAACCUCAACCUCUGAGGAGAUCAGAGAGGCCAAGGGUAGAGUCAUGUAGGUACCCUUCCAUAGAGUAUGUCCUCAUCAGUGAUGAAGGGGAGGCAAAAAGUCUUAAGGAUGUGUUGUCCCAUCCAGAAAAGAACCAGUGGAUGAAAGCCAUGCAAGAAGAGAUGGAAUCUCCACAGAAAAUGGCACGUACAAGCUGGUUGAACUUCCAAAGGGUAAAAGACCACUUAAAUGCAAAUGGGUCUUUAAACUCAAGAAAUAUGGAAAUGGACUCCACAGAAAAAUGGCACAUACAAGCUGGUUGAACUUCCAAAGGGCAAAAGACCACUCAAAUGCAAAUGGAUUUUUAAAUUCAAGAAAGAUAGAACUGGCAAACUGGUUAGACACAAAGCUCGAUUGAUAGUUAAAGGAUUCGAAUAGAAGAAAGGUAUUGAUUUUGACAAAAUUUUCUCACCCGUUGUCAAAAUGACUUAUAUUCGAACAAUUUUGAGCUUAGCAACUAGCCUAGAUCUUGAAAUAGAGCAGUUGGGUGUGAAAACUGCAUUUUUUCAUGAAGAUUUGGAAGAGAAGAUUUGGAAGAGAAGCAUCCAUAAAGAUUUGAAGUAGCUGGAAAGAAACAGAUGGUGUGCAAAUUAAAUAAGAGUCUAUAUGGAUUGAAGCAUGUACCAAGGCAGGGGUACAUGAAGUUUGGCUCAUUCAUGAAAAGUCUAACAUACAUAAAGACCUAUUCUGAUCCAUGUGUAUAUUUCAAAAGUUUUUUUGAAUUUUUUAUUAUAUUAUUGUUGUAUGUGGAUGACAUGUUAAUUGUAGGAAAAGACAAGGGGCUGAUCGCAAAGUUGACGGGAGAUCUGUCCAAGUCAUUUGAUACGAAAGACUUGGGUCCAACACAACAAAUUCUAGGGAUGAAGGUAAUUCGAGAGCGAACAAGCAGAAGGUUGUGGCUAUCUCAGGAGAAGUACAUUGAACACGUAUUGGAAUGCUUCAACAUGAAGAAUGCCAAGCCAGUCAGCAUACCUCUUGCUAGUCAUAUGAAGUUAAGCAAGAAGAUGUGUCCUACAACAAUGGAGGAGAAAGGAAACAUGGGUAGAGUUCCUUAUUCUUCUGCCGUCGGAAAUUUGAUGUAUGUAAUGGUAUGCAGUAGACCUGACAUUGCUCAUGCAGUUGGUGUUGUCAGCAGGUUUCUUGAAAAUUCUGGAAAAGAAUACUAGGAAGUUGUCAAGUGGAUACUCAAGUAUCUGAGAGGUACCGUAGGAGAUUGCUUGUGCUCUGGAGGAUCUGAUCCAGUCUUGAAGGGUUAUACAGAUGCAGAUAUAACAGGUGACAAUCAUAACAGAAAAUCUAUUACUGGAUAUUUAUUUACAUUUUCAAGGGUAGUUAUAUCAUGGCAAUCGAGGUUGGAGAACUGUGCUGCACUCUCUACAACUGAAGUGGAAUACAUUGCCGCUACUAAAGCUGGGAAGGAAAUGAUAUGGCUGAAAUGGUUCUUUCAAGAGCUUGGAUUGCAUCAGAAAGAGUAUAUUAUCUAUCGUGACAAUUAAAGUGCAAUAGAUUUGAGCAAGAACUCCAUAUACCAUGCAAGGACCAAACAUAUCGAAGUGAGAUAUCAUUGGAUCGGAGAAAAGGUAGAAAGUGAAUCUCUGCAAGUCCUGAAGAUCUCCACAAGUGAAAAUCUUGUAAAUAUGCUAACCAAGAUGAUACCAAGGGACAAGUUCGAAUAGUGCAAAGAACUUGUACCAUGUACUCAAAUUAAAAAUCCGGUGUUAUCCUCUUCAAAAUAAUGGGUCUAAGGGGGAUUUUUUGGUUCCGACCUCAUAUGUGGAAGAAGAAAAGCUUCUUCUUUCUUCCUUUUGUCAAGCCAGCCAAUUUAGAAAAGAUUUGGGCGACUGACUUUUGCAGUAACGUUUAUGUCACUGCAUAUAUCAACAUAGGUAUUCUGCAACUAUAAAUAGGUGCCUCUACCUUUAUUGUGAGACACACCAACAAAAGUGAGAAAAAUUGAAAGUGAGCAAUAUUGUAAUGAGAUGUGAAUAUCAAAAGAGGGUUAUUAUUUUUGAGUGUUGUAGUAUUCUUUGGAGUAUUUAUAUUCGUUUCUAUACGGUGUAAAUUUCUUACUAUAGUGAUAUAAGUUUCUCCUUUUAGGUCCGUGGUUUUCCCCUUAAUCAAAAAGGGAUUUCACGUAAAAAUCUUGGUGUUAUUGUCACUCUUUUAUCCUUGUUAAUUACCAUAUCUUGGUGCUACGUUAUUAUUCCGCUUUUAUUACCUGAAAUAUUAUUUUUGUAGAGGGUUUAUUCCCAGCAGAUACUACUUUCCACACUAUUUCUUAACUUGGAACACCCGCAGACAAUCUUGUAAUUCUUCAAUCAACUACGUACUGCAACUACUAAGAAGGAAUUUCUUAAUGCAAAAGGAAGUAUUAAGACUUCACCGACACUCCAAAGUGACAAGAAAUAAAAUAACCAAUUAAGAUCAAAUAAUAAAGGGGAUUAACAUUAUAUACCCUUUUGCAAGCAGGAAGUUGGCUUGUUUAACUGAGUAAAAAUUUGAUUUGAGCUUCAUUCAUGAAUUAAAAUCAUGUAAAGUUCUUAUAGUAGUAAUUACUUUUGAGGUUAAGUUUCAUUUAUGGAAAAAAAAUGUAUUCAUCUAAUAUUUCAAAUCAUACACCCAGGUAUAAACUUGCAGACAUGCAAAUCAAACCAAAUUAUGAACAUGCAAGUUAGAAAUCCAACAAUAAACAACCCAAAUAAAGAUCUAACGUAUACCCACCAAAGAACAGGAAACAAAUUGAUAUCCAAAACUAUAUAUAAAAACCUAUCUUUUAGAGAUCCGCAAACCCAAAAAUUGAUAGAUAAAUUAGAGAAAACCACUAUCACAACCAUCGUAAAGAAAUUAAAAAGAUUUGAUAUUGUUCUAGAAGAAUAAAAGAGAAAAGGGGGGUUUUACCACCAUGAACACAAAAUAUCAACAAUAUCCAACAAAAUGUGAUUACCAACUAACAAAAAAUAAAGUGCAUGAAGCAGAGAAAAAUUUCAAGAAAAUCUCGCUCACAAUUUCAUUGAGUGAAGAUCAAAGAAAUAAAAGAAAAAUCUGAAGUAAAAGAAGAAAGAGUCAUUGCAGUCAACAUUAAUUAGAAGGGUGAAGAAGAAAGAGAAAGUUGCAAAACUCACAAGAAGAGAGAAGAGAGUAGACACACUUCAAUUAAGUGAAGGAGAAAUUGAAGCAGGUGGACCUAAUUGAUUCUGAGUUUUGAACACUACAGAGGGUUUCGUAUAUAAACUGUUAACAGGGAGAAAAAUAUGAGUACACAUGUUAAGAGGAAAAGGGAAAACAAACCAAGUAACACUGAAAUAAG
rnacentral:lncRNA from 1 species